CGCACGCACGCGCGCACAAGCCUUGUUUCAGACCUGCGGGUCUUGGCUCUUCGAUCUGUCUGAAAUGCCCUUACCACCUUCCUUCACACGACUGACUGGAGACUCAGGAAGGAGCGGCAGCAGGCACCCAGCAAGGCGAGUCCCAGUCCAGGGAACACCCACUCGGCUCCAGGCUGAGAGAGAGAGUCUGAAAACCGAAACCAGCCCAGCGCACACCGACGACGCCCCUGAGGCUGCCUGCCCCGCCGGCCAGUCUCUGCCCGGGGACACCCGCGCGGGCGGCAGGGCCAGGGUGGAGGAGGG
rnacentral:lncRNA from 1 species